AAAUUACCCAGUGGCCAUUAUUAUUGCCAAUGUUUAAAAGUAUUCCAACCAAGAUGGGUGGAAAAUCAACAGUGUUAUUUUUGUUCAUGAGCAUGAUAUGUGUUGACAUGUUUCCCUCGAAAAUUAAUAAUGGUAAUCAUAAAAUAGGUAUGGGCUCUGUGGAUAGUGGUCAAGAAAUACCUACGAAAACUACAGGAACCAAAUACCAGCAUCAUUCUCAUCAUUUGAUUCAUGUGGGAGCAAACGGAUGUCCACCAAAUCAACUCAAAGAUCCGAUUGGAAAAUGUCGUAAUAAAGAGAAUUGAAAACAAGAAUGUUGUUAUUUGAAGACUUAUUUCGCACCUUUUUUAUAGAUUAAUGAUUUUAUUAUGUAAAAUAUGCUAGCACCAAUAGAUGUGUAUUCUGAUCUA